AUAAUUCUUACCAGAGAGGACCCAUGGAUACCUAGGGCCUGGUCCCGACAGGUGAUUACUCCAAAGGGAGCCAAUCUGUUGAGCUAUGUGAAUGAACUGAUAGACCCGACCACGGGUGGUUGGGAUGAACGCCUUGUCAUGGAUACAUUCUGUUCGGAGGACGCACACCACAUUCUGCAGAUUCCAUUAAGGGAAGGCACCGAGGACUUUGUUGCAUGGCAUUUUGAUUCUAAGGGCAGACACUCGGUCAGAAGUGCAUAUAAACUGCAGAUGGAGCUGCAUAAACAGCGAACGACGGGUGGACCGAGCACGAGUGAAGGAGGCUCCGGCCAGUUGGACAGAAGCCCGGACUCGAGCUGGAAGCGGAUAUGGAAACUUCUUUGCCCAGCAAAACUAGAGAUGUUUGUCUGGCGUAUCCGCCAUGAGUCCCUCCCCCUAUGUACUAAUCUGGCCAGGCGUGGUAUGAAGCUUGAC
rnacentral:rRNA from 1 species